rnacentral:rRNA from 1 species
UACGUAGGGUGCGAGCGUUGUCCGGAUUUAUUGGGCGUAAAGAGCUCGUAGGCGGUUUGUCGCGUCGGCCGUGAAAUCUCCACGCUUAACGUGGAGCGUGCGGUCGAUACGGGCAGACUUGAGUUCGGUAGGGGAGACUGGAAUUCCUGGUGUAGCGGUGAAAUGCGCAGAUAUCAGGAGGAACACCGGUGGCGAAGGCGGGUCUCUGGGCCGAUACUGACGCUGAUGAGCGAAAGCGUGGGGAGCGAACAGG